rnacentral:lncRNA from 1 species
AUGAACCUGUGCCAGACAGAGAAAGAAAGGGAUGCAGCCAUGGAUUCGGGACCCUGGAGGGAUACGAGAUUGGAGGCAUCAUCAGAAUUGGUUGGAGGGAUCAGGGGCUCGCUAUCCACAGGCUGGACAGGGCCCCUGACAGCUGUCUGGCCGCAGUGUGGCCAUGCCCGGUGUCACUGUCAGUGUGGUUUACUGCAACAGACUUUGCACUUCUGUUUCUUCAGAUUUGAUUAGUAACCCUGGUUUAUCUUCUCAAUAAAUGUAUUGAUCCCACAUCCGUGUCUCAGCCAGUCCCAGCCGUAGCACAUGCUCAGCGCAGCUUUAGCAAUGAGAUCUUCAAUGAGUGUUCUUCAUACAAUCUAGCAGAGAAGUGAUACAGAAUAGAGGGUAAGCGCACACAUUCUCUAGAAACUGGCUGUCUGGAUCCAAAUCUUAGCUAUGCCACUUAUUAGCUGGUGACUCAGGGCUUGCUGCAUAACCUCUCUGUGCUUCAAAGUCUUUAUCUAUAAAAUGGAAAGGACAAUAUUAGCGGCAUCUACUUUCUAAUUUUGUUGUGAGGUUUAAAUGAGCUAAGUUGAGUCCUGCAAAGUGUUUGCCAUUGCCCCUAAAGCUGUCGUAAAAUGUUACCCAGCCAGGUAAUGUAGUGCGUUUGGGUAUGAUGCAUAAACUCUUCUUCAUACAAACUUCUAUAAACAACACUCACUGCUGACCAUCUUUUCUUCCUUUAAGAUUUUAUUUAUUUAUUUGAGAGAGAGAGAGAGAAAGUGAGAGCGUGUGUGCACGCAGCAUGCGGGAGCAGCAGGGAGAGAGGGAGAAUCAGACUCCCCACUGAGUAAGGAGCCUGAUGCGGGGCUCCAUACCAGGACCCUGAGAUCAGGACCUGAGCUAAAGGUAGAUGCUUAACAGACUGAACCACCCAGGCGCCCCAACGAUCUUGACCAUACCAGGAGUCAGAUCAAGAUACUCUUUUACAAGAUACUCAUGUUAUGGCCAAAAGGGACAUUAAAAAUAGUUUAAUCUGACCGUUUC